UAGCGAAGGGGGCUAGCGUUGUUUCGGAAUCAGCUGGGCGUAAAGCGCACGUAGGCGGAUCUUUAAGUCAGGGGUGAAAUCCCGAGGCUCAACCUCGGAACUGCCUUUGAUACUGGGGAUCUCGAGUCCGGGAGAGGUGAGUGGAACUGCGAGUGUAGAGGUGAAAUUCGUAGAUAUUCGCAAGAACACCAGUGGCGAAGGCGGCUCACUGGCCCGGUACUGACACUGAGGCGCGAAAGCGUGGGGAGCGAACAGG
rnacentral:rRNA from 1 species